rnacentral:tRNA from 1 species
GCCGAAGUGACGGAACAGGCAUACGUACUGGUCUUAGAAACCAGGUUCUGAGAGUUCGAAUCUCUCCUUCGGUAC